rnacentral:rRNA from 1 species
AUACGUAGGGGGCGAGCGUUGUCCGGAAUGAUUGGGCGUAAAGGGCGCGUAGGCGGCCCGGUAAGUCUGGAGUGAAAGUCCUGUUUUUAAGAUGGGAAUUGCUUUGGAUACUGUCGGGCUUGAGUGCAGGAGAGGUAAGUGGAAUUCCCAGUGUAGCGGUGAAAUGCGUAGAGAUUGGGAGGAACACCAGUGGCGAAGGCGACUUACUGGACUGUAACUGACGCUGAGACGCGAAAGUGUGGGGAGCAAACAGGAUUAGAUUCCCUGGUAGUCCACACUGUAAACGGUGAAUGCUAGGUGUAGGGGGUAUCGACCCCUUCUGUGCCGCAGUCAACACAAUAAGCAUUCCGCCUGGGGGGUACGGCCGCAAGGUUGAAACUCAAAUGAAUGGACGGG